GUCCUUUUGUUUAUUUAGAAGGUCUGGCCUGCCCAGUGAAAUUAAUUUAACGGCCGCGGUAUAUUGACCGUGCAAAGGUAGCAUAAUCAUUAGUCUUUUAAUAGGAGGCUGGAAUGAAAGGUUUAACGAAACAUUAGCUGUCUCAAUUAUAAAUUUAGAAUUUAACUUUUAAGUCAAAAGGCUUAAAUCUCAUUGGUGGACGAGAAGACCCUUUAGAGCUUUACAUUAAAAUUUUUAAUAUAAUUAUGCUAAAUAAUUUUUUGUUAAUUUUUUUACUGUUUUGUUGGGGUGACAAAAAUAUAUAAAUAACUUUUAUUAUUCUUUUUUACAUUAAUAUAUGAUUAUUGGAUCCAUUAUUAUUGAUUAUUAGAUUAAGUUACCUAAGGGAUAACAGCGUAAUCUUCUUUCAGAGUUCAAAUCUACAAGAAGGCUUGCGACCUCGAUGUUGGAUUAAGAUAAUAUUUAAGUGCAGUAGCUUAAUUAAUAGGUCUGUUCGACCUUUAAAUUCUUACAUGAUCUGAGUUCAGACCGG
rnacentral:rRNA from 1 species